rnacentral:rRNA from 1 species
UGUAAGCGUAUACCAAAGUUGUUGCAGUUAAAACGCUCGUAGUCGGAAUUUGGCAGUUCCGGAUGUGUGCACGUCGUGUGCGCACUUCGCGGGGAUUGCUUUUGUGGUCUUGCGUAGGAUGAGGCACUUUUAUUAGUGAACGUCCUCACGCAACCACUUUUUACUGUGAGAAAAUCAGAGUGCUCAAAGCAGGCAUUUGCCGUGAAUGUAUUAGCAUGGAAUAAUAGAAUAGGACUUGGUUCUAUUUUGUUGGUUUGUUGGGACUGAGUAAAGAUUAAGAGGGACAGUUGGGGGCAUUUGUAUUUCGGUGCUAGAGGUGAAAUUCUUAGAUUACCGAAAGACAAACUGCUGCGAAAGCGUCUGCCAAGGAUGUUUUCAUUGA